rnacentral:rRNA from 1 species
AGCGAACGCUGGCGGCAGGCUUAACACAUGCAAGUCGAGCGGGCAUCCUUGUGGUGUCAGCGGCAGACGGGUGAGUAAAGCGUGGGAACGUGCCCUUCGGUUCGGAAUAACUCAGGGAAACUUGAGCUAAUACCGGAUACGUGCGAGAGCAGAAAGGUUUAUCUGCCGAAGGAUCGGCCCGCGUCUGAUUAGCUAGUUGGUGAGGUUAUGGCUCACCAAGGCGACGAUCAGUAGCUGGUCUGAGAGGAUGAUCAGCCACACUGGGACUGAGACACGGCCCAGACUCCUACGGGAGGCAGCAGUGGGGAAUAUUGGACAAUGGGGGCAACCCUGAUCCAGCCAUGCCGCGUGAGUGAUGACGGCCUUAGGGUUGUAAAGCUCUUUUCUCCGGGACGAUAAUGACGGUACCGGAGGAAUAAGCCCCGGCUAACUUCGUG